AUCCAGCUGACUAGUUCCAAAUAGGACAAAACGCGCGUCAAACUGGGU
rfam:Schistosoma haematobium scaffold214_68, whole genome shotgun sequence.